rnacentral:rRNA from 1 species
CAGUCGCCGCGGUAAUACGAAGGGGGCUAGCGUUGCUCGGAAUUACUGGGCGUAAAGGGAGCGUAGGCGGAUCGUUUAGUCAGGGGUGAAAUCCCGGGGCUCAACCUCGGAACUGCCUUUGAUACUGGCGAUCUUGAGUAUGGGAGAGGUGUGUGGAACUCCGAGUGUAGAGGUGAAAUUCGUAGAUAUUCGGAAGAACACCAGUGGCGAAGGCGACACACUGGCCCAUUACUGACGCUGAGGCUCGAAAGCGUGGGGAGCAAACAGGAUUAGAUACCCGCGUAGUCCCUGUCUCUUAUAC